rnacentral:rRNA from 1 species
AAGGUCCCUAAAUCUUACUUAAGUGGAAAACGAUGUGAAGUUACUUAAACAACCAGGAGGUUGGCUUAGAAGCAGCCAUCCUUUAAAGAAAGCGUAAUAGCUCACUGGUCUAGUGAUUUUGCGCGGAAAAUAUAACGGGGCUAAAGUAAGUACCGAAGCUGUAGACUUGCGCACAACUUAGAUUAUUUAAGUUUAGAAUAUGAGAAACUAAGUUAUAUGUUUAGUUAUAUUUUUACUGAUUUUUAUAGAGUAAAGAUAGAAAUAAAACUUAGUAAAAUCAGUAAAAAUAUUCUUAGACUAAAGUUAAGUAGUUUAAGUUGUGUGCAAGUGGUAGGAGAGCGUUCUAUUUGCGUCGAAGGUAUACCGGUAAGGAGUGCUGGAGCGAAUAGAAGUGAGCAUGCAGGCAUGAGUAGCGAUAAUUAAUGUGAGAAUCAUUAACGCCGUAAACCCAAGGUUUCCUACGCGAUGCUCGUCAUCGUAGGGUUAGUCGGGUCCUAAGUCGAGUCCGAAAGGGGUAGACGAUGGCAAAUUGGUUAAUAUUCCAAUACCAACAUUAGUGUGCGAUGGAAGGACGCUUAGGGCUAAGGGGGCUAGCGGAUGGAAGUGCUAGUCUAAGGUCGUAGGAGGUUAUACAGGCAAAUCCGUAUAACAAUACUCCGAGAACUGAAAGGCUUUUUGAAGUCUUCGGAUGGAUAGAAGAACCCCUGAUGCCAUCGAGCCAAGAAAAGUUUCUAAGUUUAGCUAAUGUUGCCCGUACCGUAAACCGACACAGGUGGGUGGGAUGAGUAUUCUAAGGCGCGUGGAAGAACUCUCUUUAAGGAACUCUGCAAAAUAGCACCGUAUCUUCGGUAUAAGGUGUGGUUCGCUUCGUAUUAGGAUUUACUCCGAAAGCGAAGAAACUUACAACAAAGAGUCCCUCCCGACUGUUUACCAAAAACACAGCACUCUGCUAACUCGUAAGAGGAUGUAUAGGGUGUGACGCCUGCCCGGUGCUCGAAGGUUAAUUGAUGGGGUUAGCAUUAGCGAAGCUCUUGAUCGAAGCCCGAGUAAACGGCGGCCGUAACUAUAACGGUCCUAAGGUAGCGAAAUUCCUUGUCGGUUAAAUACCGACCUGCAUGAAUGGCGUAACGAGAUGGGAGCUGUCUCAAAGAGGGAUCCAGUGAAAUUGUAGUGGAGGUGAAAAUUCCUCCUACCCGCGGCAAGACGGAAAGACCCCGUGGACCUUUACUACAGCUUGACACUGCUAUUUGGAUAAGAAUGUGCAGGAUAGGUGGGAGGCUUUGAGUAUAUGACGCCAGUUGUAUAUGAGCCAUUGUUGAGAUACCACUCUUUCUUAUUUGGGUAGCUAACCAGCUUGAGUUAUCCUCAAGUGGGACAAUGUCUGGUGGGUAGUUUGACUGGGGCGGUCGCCUCCCAAAUAAUAACGGAGGCUUACAAAGGUUGGCUCAGAACGGUUGGAAAUCGUUCGUAGAGUAUAAAGGUAUAAGCCAGCUUAACUGCAAGACAUACAAGUCAAGCAGAGACGAAAGUCGGUCUUAGUGAUCCGGUGGUUCUGUGUGGAAGGGCCAUCGCUCAAAGGAUAAAAGGUACCCCGGGGAUAACAGGCUGAUCUCCCCCAAGAGCUCACAUCGACGGGGAGGUUUGGCACCUCGAUGUCGGCUCAUCGCAUCCUGGGGCUGGAGCAGGUCCCAAGGGUAUGGCUGUUCGCCAUUUAAAGCGGUACGCGAGCUGGGUUCAGAACGUCGUGAGACAGUUCGGUCCCUAUCUGCCGUGGGCGUAAGAAGAUUGAAGAGAUUUGACCCUAGUACGAGAGGACCGGGUUGAACAAACCACUGGUGUAGCUGUUGUUCUGCCAAGAGCAUCGCAGCGUAGCUAAGUUUGGAAAGGAUAAACGCUGAAAGCAUCUAAGCGUGAAGCCAACUCUAAGAUGAAUCUUCUCUAAGCUCUCUAGAAGACUACUAGUUUGAUAGGCUGGGUGUGUAAUGGAUGAAAGUCCUUUAGCUGACCAGUACUAAUAGAGCGUUUGGCUUAUCUUUAAUAAAGCAU